AUUGAACGCUGGCGGCAGGCUUAACACAUGCAAGUCGAGCGGAGCGAGGGUGCUUGCACCUUAGCUUAGCGGCGGACGGGUGAGUAAUGCUUAGGAAUCUGCCUAUUAGUGGGGGACAACAUUCCGAAAGGAAUGCUAAUACCGCAUACGCCCUACGGGGGAAAGCAGGGGAUCUUCGGACCUUGCGCUAAUAGAUGAGCCUAAGUCGGAUUAGCUAGUUGGUGGGGUAAAGGCCUACCAAGGCGACGAUCUGUAGCGGGUCUGAGAGGAUGAUCCGCCACACUGGGACUGAGACACGGACCAGACUCCUACUGGAGGCAGCAGUGGGGAAUAUUGGACAAUGGGCGGAAGCCUGAUCCAGCCAUGCCGCGUGUGUGAAGAAGGCCUUUUGGUUGUAAAGCACUUUAAGCGAGGAGGAGGCUACUGGUACUAAUACUACUGGAUAGUGGACGUUACUCGCAGAAUAAGCACCGGCUAACUCUAUGCCAGCCGCCGCGGUAAAAC
rnacentral:rRNA from 1 species